rnacentral:lncRNA from 1 species
AGAACACGCGGAUCUAUCGGUGUCUGGGUCGGGUCAUCGGUUUUGGUCCAAUACAGCACCGUUUUGGAGCCACUGAUCUGGCUCUAAACGGUGCCAUUUCGAAUGAUAUGUAAGUGGCUCAAAAAACCUAAAAUCCCUAAUAUUUGACCACCUCCCUUAAACAAGUAGAGAGAAAAAAAAGAAGAAAAAAAAAACAAAGCCCCCAUUUUCCUCUUGCGUCGCUCUCCAGCUCUAAAUCUCCAUUCACCCUUCGACUGUGACUAAGCGAUAAGGAUUCGACGGCACCGAUAAGGUAAAUCUCUCAUCCUCCCCG